GGAAAGCAAAAUCCUUUCACUUUAACAGUCCAUCUCAGCAAACAUGUUUCUGCUUGACUAAAGACACACUGAUUACCUCUUUUCUAUGAAUAGUAUGUGAAUGAAUCAACAGAAUUCUUCUUGGUAGCAGAGAUUGAAGGUCUUUUUGUAGUUUGACCCAGACUUGGUUUUCAGAAUCAUUUAAAUAAAUUUCAUAUGUAUCUUAAUUUAUUUGCUUUCCACCUGAGUUUUUGGCAUAUUUAUUUUCUGGGGCCAGGCAGAAUUGACAAUGAAAUUAUUAAAAGGAUUUAUUUAUUUCACAAGUAAGUAUGCAAUAGUAUUGGCAGCCCACAUACUACUAAGACAUAAAAUGUUAUUAUAAGCUUUUAGUGCCCAGUAAAGUUAGAAGUGCAUUAAUUUCAGCAAAGGGAAAGAUUGUGUUAUUUUCCAGUAACUUUAACAAAUAACAAACUAAUUAAAUGUGAUUUGAUAGUGUAAAGAAUAGCUUGAAAUUGCAAGAUUCCUGGCAGCUGGACUACUGAAUUCCUUACUCUGUAAGAAAAGAAUUUCUGUGGACCAUUUCACUUAACCUUUGCUUAUACCUUACAUUGUCCAUAUCUGCCAAAAAAAAGGUAACUAUUAUUAAUAAUUUUUAAUAAUUUGUUAAAGAAAUGAGAUACUUUAUAAAAUUGUUAUGUGGCUGGCUUUUUCACAAAUUAAAUGAUAAUUACAAAUUAUUUGCUUGCUUUAUUUUUAUGGGUUAUACAUAGUGUUGCUAUGGAAUCAGUGCUUUCCUCAUAAGUGUAUAGUUUUAGGAAAAAUGGCAGGCAGGCAGGUUUUUCUUUUUAAACUCAUACCUAAAAUAAUAGCAUAUUCAAAUUAUAGGCUAGGUGUUUGGUAUAAUGGAAGGAAGAGGUCACUUUGUCUCAUCUUGCCCAGUCUGAAAGGCAUUGUUGUAUGGGGGAUGGGGGGAGAUACUAUGUAUAGUGCUCAAGUUGAACCCAGGUACUUGUACAUGCUAGGCACUCUAUCACUGAGCUACAUCCCUAGCCCCUAUGUGUAGUCUAAACGUCCAAACUCACCAAAUUUUAUGAGUUCUAGUAAAAAGAGUUGGGUUGAAAGGUUAUUUUUUGGAAUCAGGUGAAUAUGUGGAAGGUUAUUCCAGGUAUUCACAAAGCGAUAGUGGAAAUAAUGGUUUUGGG
rnacentral:lncRNA from 1 species